rnacentral:rRNA from 1 species
CCUACGGGAGGCAGCAGUGAGGAAUAUUGGUCAAUGGGCGUAAGCCUGAACCAGCCAAGUAGCGUGAGGGAUGAAGGUUCUAUGGAUCGUAAACCUCUUUUAUAAGGGAAUAAAGUGUGGGACGUGUCCUAUUUUGUAUGUACCUUAUGAAUAAGGAUCGGCUAACUCCGUGCCAGCAGCCGCGGUAAUACGGAGGAUCCGAGCGUUAUCCGGCUUUAUUGGGUUUAAAGGGUGCGUAGGCGGCCUUUUAAGUAAGCGGUGAAAGUCUGUGGCUCAACCAUAGAAUUGCCGUUGAAACUGGGGGGCUGGAGUAUGUUGGAGGCAGGGGGAAGGCGUGGUGUAGCGGUGAAAUGCUUAGAUAGCACGCAGAACCCCGAUUGCGAAGGCAGCCUGCCAAGCCAUGACUGACGCUGAUGCACGAAAGCGUGGGGAUCAAACAGGAUUAGAUACCCGUGUAGUC